GACUCCUACGGGAGGCAGCAGUGGGGAAUAUUGCACAAUGGGCGAAAGCCUGAUGCAGCGACGCCGCRUGAGGGAUGACGGCCUUCGGGUUGUAAACCUCUUUCAGCAGGGAAGAAGCGAAAGUGACGGUACCUGCAGAAGAAGCGCCGGCUAACUACGUGCCAGCAGCCGCGGUAAUACGUAGGGCGCAAGCGUUGUCCGGAAUUAUUGGGCGUAAAGAGCUCGUAGGCGGCUUGUCACGUCGGUUGUGAAAGCCCGGGGCUUAACCCCGGGUCUGCAGUCRAUACGGGCAGGCUAGAGUUCGGUAGGGGAGAUCGGAAUUCCWGRYGUSGYGGUGAAAUGCACAAAWCUCUAGANUSAACYMCGGGGGG
rnacentral:rRNA from 1 species